GUUUUCGGAUAAUCGCGCGAUUUUUUAAAAAUCGUGAGGAAAGUCCAUGCUCGCGCGUUGCUGAGAUGCACGCAGUGUUUGUGCUAGGUUAAACAAUAAACCUAGGUAGGAGCGUCAUGCCUAACGGCUGGCGAAAUCACUAAGUUUUUGAUUUUCAAAAAUAUGUGAAAGUAGCCUAUAAAAGUGCCAUAGAGACGAGUCUUGCGGGAAACCGUAAGAAUGGAACGUGGUAAACCCCUCAAGCGAGCAACCCAAACUUAUGGUCGGGGCACUUAACUAGCUGAAAUGAAAGCGUGGUUGAGGCUGAUUUCUUCGGAUUUUGGCAGACAGAUGGUUAUCGAAGGUCUUUUAGACUGGAACAAAACAUGGCUUAUAGAA
rnacentral:RNase_P_RNA from 1 species